GGCUCGUUGGUCUAGGGGUAUGAUUCCUGCUUCCUGCGCAGGAGGUCCCGGGUUCAAAUCCCGGACGAGCCC
rnacentral:tRNA from 1 species